GCCAUAUGAUUACCUUGACAAGGUCUUGUUGGUUCGAGGCGGCCGGCGUACCUGUGGACUGCUACAACGUAAAACAACAUUAUGGACGAAGAUUUUGUUGGAAUACUUCGACAGGAUCGGGAGAAAGUUCGAGGCUGAUAGGCAAGUGGAAGCAGGGGCCGACUAGAAGUUCUUGCAUCAUGUAUCGGAUUCCCGCCACAGUUGUCGAUGCCUGCUGAUCCUCGAGAUGAUGUCGGUACACGGUGGUGUUGUCUUUUCGCAAGAGACGAAGCUGAGCCGAUUCAAACUGACCUUUGGCGAGAAUCGUGGCCGUGUUUUGCCAGUUUCUGUCCGUUCACUGUAUUAGUCGCCUACCACGCCACACGUCUGGGGGUCACUCGUCCGCGAUUUGUAAGCAUCGAAAGCACUCGCCUCUUGCACCGUGUUUGUGUUUUUCGAAGAAAUUACAUCGCAAAAGAUUUCGAUGGCUGUAGCGCAACACUCGGGUACGCAAAAAUCGAAUGGCGAUCAUCUAUUACUAUUGCAAUCGGCUUCGUCGUGCUUUUCGCGAUCUUCUCCUCAAGCUGCUGCCGCCGUCUGCAACUAGGAAGGGACAGUGAGAGUGAAAAGCACAUAUGAGAGAGGUACUACAUUUACAGAGAGAAAGGCCGCACCGCUACGCGGCUGAGAACUUUGUCUGUACCUAGGACGACUGCUCACUGAAAUUCGCUGAUUGGUGCCAGUCUUACCGAAGUCAGAAACUGCAAGUUCGCGAAAUCUCGAAGAGCUCGGCGUGAUGCAUGGCACUUGAUAAAAAAAAAUAAGGUAUACAAGUACUCUCCCAUGCAGGCAGUAAAACGCCUAAGACGACUAAGUCAUCCUACACAGGUUGGCCAUCACAGGCAGAAUCAACAUUGUCAUGACAGCUGCAACACCGACAACAGAAAUAGCUUCAAGUGGAGCAGAAAAACAAUAUUAGUGAUUGUCUCUAGUAACAAACCGCGUCCUGUUCAACAUGCAUCCAAGACCCUGGCGCAGGGCUGUAGCUUCGUGGCCAACAAAACGAGUUGUACGAGACUUUUACCACUGUCUGUCUGUUGGUACCUGCUAAUGCCAUAGAGGGGUGACGGCCCACAAAAACAAUAACCAGCCCUAGCACUGCAUCCGAAGCCCCGAGAAAAAGCAAAAAGACAGUGUUUAGACUUGCAUGUCACGAAGUGAUGCACGUAAACGAAAGCAGAUACGAAGAAAUCGAGCAACGUAACGAAUCCUGAGGCUGUGCCUAUUUGUUGUUAUUUUGCAUCUAGGGGGCAAACGUAUGAGCAGAACCGCGCGGACGCACUGGGCACCAGCCAUCUGCAUUGUUAGGCCUGUUGAGUUGAAAUAGAGCAGCAAAAAAUAGUAUAACUGACACAUUCCCAACGUAGAACAUAAAAAGUAUACAGGGCAAAAUGGCAGCAAAUGAACUGCUUUCAGUAGGGUCAGUCGUGAGGCUGUGGCAGCCCGGAAACGAUAACAAAGUUGUAUAUUUUCAAUUCGGAGCUACAAGUGAAUCAGGAACAUCCUGACACAAACAGGGCGCCAAUAGCGUUUGCCGUGUGUAACUUGCUAUUUAAUUAUUGUUGUACUACGGCAUCUUAAACAGAGAACGCUUCAUUCGAACGUGAUGAAUCCAAAAUGAUCUCACUGCUAAUUGUAUA